UCCUACGGGGCGCAGCAGUGGGGAAUAUUGCACAAUGGGGGGAACCCUGAUGCAGCAAUGCCGCGUGAAGGAUGAAGGUUUUCGGAUUGUAAACUUCUUUUGUACGGGACGAAGAAAGUGACGGUACCGUAAGAAUAAGCCAUGGCUAAUUCCGUGCCAGCAGCCGCGGUAAUACGGAAGGUCCGGGCGUUAUCCGGAUUUAUUGGGUUUAAAGGGAGCGUAGGCCGGCUUUUAAGUCAGCUGUGAAAGUCCGCGGCUCAACCGUGGAAUUGCAGUUGAAACUGGAGGCCUUGAGUGCACACAGG
rnacentral:rRNA from 1 species